AUAAUUCUCACUGUUUUGACCCUCACAAGAACCAUUCUUGGUAACAACAGCUCUCGCAUCUUCAUGCCUAUUUCCAAGAGGAGUGAAAGCAUUCUCAGAGUCAGUAGAAUUUACGUCACUUUUUUCUGAGUCAUUCUUCAUAGAAUCCUCACUGUCUUCCUCUUCGACAAUUUCUUGUACUUUUCCAUUUUCCUGAUAAUUCUCUAUAUUAUAGACACCAGAUUCUUGCCUCCUCUCUUGAUAAUUCUCACUGUUUUCACCCUCAUAAGAACCAUUUUUGGUAACAAUAUCUAUCACAUCCUCAUGCCUAUCCGCAAUAGGAGUAGAAGCAUUAUCAGCAUUCUCAGAACUGGAGAAAUGACUUGCUGAGUUCAUAAAGCAUUUACUCUCAUCUAGAUCAAGAAGGCUUUCCAAUUUCACAUAUCACAGAUGAGAGUAAAUGCUUUA
rnacentral:misc_RNA from 1 species